UACGUAGGUGGCAAGCGUUAUCCGGAAUUAUUGGGCGUAAAGCGCGCGCAGGCGGUUUCUUAAGUCUGAUGUGAAAGCCCACGGCUCAACCGUGGAGGGUCAUUGGAAACUGGGGAACUUGAGUGCAGAAGAGAAAAGCGGAAUUCCACGUGUAGCGGUGAACUGCGUAGAGAUGUGGAGGAACACCAGUGGCGAAGGCGGCUUUUUGGUCUGUAACUGACGCUGAGGCGCGAAAGCGUGGGGAGCAAACAGG
rnacentral:rRNA from 1 species